UACGUAGGGUGCAAGCGUUGUCCGGAAUUAUUGGUCGUAAAGAGCUCGUAGGCGGUCUGUCGCGUCGGAUGUGAAACCUCGGGGCUCAACCCCGAGCCUGCAUUCGAUACGGGCAGACUAGAGUUCGGUAGGGGAGACUGGAAUUCCUGGUGUAGCGGUGAAAUGCGCAGAUAUCAGGAGGAACACCGAUGGCGAAGGCAGGUCUCUGGGCCGAUACUGACGCUGAGGAGCGAAAGCGUGGGGAGCGAACAGG
rnacentral:rRNA from 1 species